AGCAGCCGCGGUAAUUCCAGCUCCAAUAGCGUAUAUUAAAGUUGUUGCAGUUAAAAAGCUCGUAGUUGAAUUUCGGGGUCAGUAGAUUGGUCGUGCCACUGGUAUGUACUGGUCUUACUGGCUCCUCCUUCCUGAUGAACCGUAAUGCCAUUAAUUUGGUGUUGCGGGGAGACUGGACUGUUACUUUGAAAAAAUUAGAGUGUUUAAAGCAGGCUAACGCUUGAAUACAUUAGCAUGGAAUAAUAAAAUAGGACGUUCGAUCUUAUUUUGUUGGUUUCUAGGAUUGACGUAAUGAUUAAUAGGGAUAGUUGGGGGCAUUAGUAUUCAAUUGUCAGAGGUGAAAUUCUUGGAUUUAU
rnacentral:rRNA from 1 species